AGUGACAUUGACAACAGUCUUUUUGUUUUUCUUUACUGUUUCAUUUUUUAAUUUUCUUUUCUUUUUCUUUUUUUCUUCUCUUUCUUCACCUUGUUUACUACUACUAUAUAAUCCACAAUCCUUUAUCACAAUCAUCAUCCGGAAAAAUCUAAUGAAAGUAUUCACCACCAUUUCAAACCACUUCAUCAUCCGGAGAUCAACCUGCCUCCAAACCAGUUGUGCUCUUGUUAAAUGGAGGAUUACUUAUGGUGUUCAGGUGUUCUUCUGUUGGAGAGGGAACAUUUGCUGAGCAUGGUCCUCUCAAACCCAUAAAUUUUGGAUUUAACACAACAAAGCCUCAUAAACUCUGGUCUGAAGAAGGACAGGUAAAUAUUUCAAGUCUAUAACAUCUCUCAAUUUGAUUCUCUUUUUAAUUUAUUUUAUAAGUGUUUCAUCUUUUGUUUAGCACUAUGUGUAUCACAUAGUAGUUUCAAUGCCAAAAUUUCAUAAUUUAUGCCCUGACGUGAUUUCAUUCAUUAAAUAAAUAUAUAAAAGAUAAAUUAAAAAGUGAAGUGAAAUAGCGACCUAAUUAAAAUCGGACUGAUUCAUGAACUGACAUAGAUACGAAGUGUGAUCGGUCAAAUGAGGUAAGACGAUAUAAAAAUAAUAUUAUUUAUUAUUUUACAAUAUAUUAUAUUAAAUAUAAAUAAUACAAUUUAAUUAUAAUAAUUAUAAUUUUAAAAUUUAAUUAAAUUAUUUAUGAUAUAUUUCUAUAUUACUUUUGUUAUUGUUUUCUACAGUGAAAUAAAAAUACAAUAAAAACUAAUGGCAAGUAUAGUAUAUAUACUAAUAUUAUAUAAUGAUAAUCUAAUAUAGAGUAUUGUGUCCUGUAAAAAAAGUUACUGCUAGAUAUCACUUUAUGAUUGGGCUUUAUUUAAAACAAUGUAAAGAAACCAUAAACUUCUCUUUCUCUUAUAAGCCGCCGCUUCUAUUUCACUCCAUCUUGAAACUUUCAUCAUCAACCUGGACAACACUGUCAAAUAUUUUUACAAGCAACUAAUUUUACAAGAAAUAUUUCAUAUUAGUUUUUCUUCUUCUUCUAUAAAUAAAACCCAACUAAAUACUUUCCUUUUAACUCUUUAUUUUUCAUUUUGCCACUAUUUAUUUUAAGAAUUUUUCUGUUAGAAAAACACAGGAAGGUAUAUUUUCUUCUUUCAUUCUUCUUCUGUUUGUAAUACGGUUCAACGAAACCCAAUGAAUCCAGGUUUUGGCGGAUUUUAGGCGGUUUUCUGGUUUAGUUACCGGUUUUUUGCAUAAAUGGUUUUUGAGCUGAUUAGACCGUAUGUAGGUUUGGUUACUGGUCCAACAGGUUGAACCGGCCGACCCGGUUUUCAGUACUAUGUGAAAUAGUGAAUGGUGAUAAAAAAAAGUCUAUAAAUAAGACAUUAUGUGUAAUCAUAUUACUUGCAUUUUCUUCUAACUCUUGCUUUGCUCCCUCUGUCUCUCUCAUAUCUUUGCAAGCACCACCGAGUAAACUCUCUCGAUAUGAUGAAUUUCUACCUUGCUUUGCUGUUUUUCUUCAUUUUAAGAGUAAAUUCCUCAUUUGAAGAGGAUAGAAUAAUUGCUCUCCCUGACCAGCCUGCGGUUAAUUUCCAUCAAUAUGGAGGUUACUUAACCGUUGAUGAAAAUCACGGGAGGAAACUAUUUUAUUACUUCGUUGAGGCGGAAGUCGAUCCGGCUUCCAAACCAGUUGUUCUUUGGAUAAGUAGAGGGGAGAAGAUGAAUUUGUCAGAGAAAAUGAUGAAUAUAAAAUAAGACUAUAUUUACCUCCACUUAUCCAAAGAACAACAGGUUUGGAAGCCGGAUCGACUUCCGCCUCAACGAAGUAAUAAAAUAGUUUCCUCCCGUGAUUUUCAUCAACGGUUAAGUAAUCUCCAUAUUGAUGGAAAUUAACCGCAGGCUGGUCAGGGAGAGCAAUUAUUCUAUCCUCUUCAAAUGAGGAAUUUAUUCUUAAAAUGAAGAAAAACAGCAAAGCAAGGUAGAAAUUCAUCAUAUCGAGAGAGUUUACUCGGUGGUGCUUGCAAAAAUAUGAGAGAGACAGAGAGAGCAAAGCAAGAGUUAGAAGAAAAUGCAAGUAAUAUGAUUACACAUAAUGUCUUAUUUAUAGACUUUUUUUAUCAUUAUUCACUAUUUCAGUGGUCGGUGUUAAACGAUGGUCAUCAUGCAAUGAUGUUGUUGCCUAUGACUUUCAGAGCCUUGAGAAACCAACCCUUUCCUUGUUAGGGACACUUGUCAAGUCAGGUGUUAGGGUAUUAGUUUACAGAGGUAAUUUGGAUUCUGUCAUUCCAUCUCUUGGGACAGCUUCCUUAAUAAAACAUUUGGUCGAGGAUUUUGGGUUUAACACAACAAAGCGUCAUGAACUCUGGUCUGAGGACGGAUAGGUUGGUGAACCGAGUAUGGAGUUUGAAGACAUGCUAACAUUUGCAGGUCUCCUUAGAGUUGGCCAUUUCCUUCCUUUUUCUCAACCAGAGAUAUCAUUGAAGAUGAUUAGGAAUUUUUUAAAAGGAAUGUCUCUUCAUAAUGAGAAGAGAUGUAUGGAGAUAGAGAGAGAGAAGAUAACUUGUUUGAAUUGUUAAGAGACCUUCCUUUUAGACAAGUAAAGAUUGGGAGAUCAAUUUAGGAGCCUAUGUUUUUGAGAUGUCUAGUGUUUUGAGUGUUGUGUUGAAAUUUGUAUAAGUCAAGACUUUGUAUCAUCCUCCUUGUACCCUCUUGAAUAUAUUAAACUCAAUGUUACAAAAGUCUAAGUAUAAGAUUGGGAGAUCAAUUUAGAUGUCUAGUAUUUUGGGUGUUGUGUUGAAAUACUCUAUCAGUCAAGACUUUGUAUUAUCCUCCUUGUACCCUCUUGAAUAUAUUCAAAUCAAUUAAAUUUGCAGUGGCUUGUAAAUUAAAUUAUUUUUUCCAAUA